rnacentral:rRNA from 1 species
GACGAACGCUGGCGGCGUGCCUAAUACAUGCAAGUCGAACGCCGUGGGGACGGGUGAGUAACACGUGGCUAACCUCCCAUCAGAGGGGAUAACAGUUGGAAACAGGUGCUAAACCGAUACUGAUGGAUGGACCCGCGGUGCAUUAGCUAGUUGGUGAGGUAACGGCUCACCAAGGCCACGAUGCAUAGCCGGCCUAUGGGGUUGAUCGGCAAAAGUGGCACGGCGACACGGCCCGGACUCCAACGGGAGGUAGCAGGAGGGAAGCUUCGGCAAAGGACGAAAGUCUGACGUAGCAACACCGCGUGGAUGAAGAAGGUUUUCGGUUAGUAAAACUCUGUAGUCGGAGAAGCGGUAUCCAACCAGAAAGCCACGGCUAACUACGUGCCAGCAGCCGCGGUAAUUC